rnacentral:rRNA from 1 species
UGGGGAAUUUUGGACAAUGGGCGAAAGCCUGAUCCAGCAAUGCCGCGUGUGUGAAGAAGGCCUUCGGGUUGUAAAGCGCUUUUGUCCGGAAAGAAAUCCUUGGCUCUAAUACAGUCGGGGGAUGACGGUACCGGAAGAAUAAGCACCGGCUAACUACGUGCCAGCAGCCGCGGUAAUACGUAGGGUGCAAGCGUUAACCGGAAUUACUGGGCGUAAAGCGUGCGCAGGCGGUUUGCUAAGACCGAUGUGAAAUCCCCGGGCUCAACCUGGGAACUGCAUUGGUGACUGGCAGGCUAGAGUAUGGCAGAGGGGGGUAGAAUUCCACGUGUAGCAGUGAAAUGCGUAGAGAUGUGGAGGAAUACCGAUGGCGAAGGCAGCCCCCUGGGCCAAUACUGACGCUCAUGCACGAAAGCGUGGGGAGCAAACAGGAUUAGAUACCCUGGUAGUCCACGCCCUAAACGAUGUCAACUAGUUGUUGGGGAUUCAUUUCCUUAGUAACGCAGCUAACGCGUGAAGUUGACCGCCUGGGGAGUACGGUCGCAAGAUUAAAACUCAAAGGAAUUGACGGGGUCAUAGCUGUUUCCU